rnacentral:rRNA from 1 species
UACGGGGGGGGUAAGCGUUGUUCGGAAUUACUGGGCGUAAGGGGCUCGUAGGCGGCCAACUAAGUCAUACGUGAAAUCCCUCAGCUUAACUGGGGAACUGCGUGUGAUACUGGAUGGCUUGGAUUUGGGAGAGGGAUGCGGAAUUCCAGGUGUAGCGGUGAAAUGCGUAGAUAUCUGGAGGAACACCAGAGGCGAAGGCGGCCUACUGGGCUGCACCUGACGCUGAGCCGCGAAAGCGUGGGGAGCGAACAGG